rnacentral:rRNA from 1 species
UUACGACUACAUAUCAGGCAUAUCAAUAAGCGGAGGAAAAGAAACUAACAAGGAUUCCCCUAGUAACGGCGAGUGAAGCGGGAAGAGCUCAAAUUUGAAAUCUUAAAGGGUUUCCCUUUACGAAUUGUAGUUUAAAGAAGUGUUUUCUGUUGGAGUUUCGGUAAAAGUUCUUUGGAAUAGGACAUCAUAGAGGGUGAGAAUCCCGUAUUUGACCGUUACUUUCCAGCUGUGUGAUACACUUUCAAAGAGUCGGAUUGUUUGGGAAUGCAGUCCAAGAUGGGUGGUAAAUUUCAUCUAAAGCUAAAUAUUGGCGAGAGACCGAUAGCGAACAAGUACCGUGAGGGAAAGAUGAAAAGAACUUUGAAAAGAGAGUUAAACAGUACGUGAAAUUGUCAAAAGGGAAGCGUUUGACACCAGUGUUGUUUUUCCAAAAAUCAAUUACGAAUGGCUUGAUUUUGUGUUGUAUUGACCUUAUCAGCUUUCUUCACUUUUUUCGAGUCUUUCUUAAUGCACUUUUUGGUUAACAAGUCAACAUCAAUUUCUUUUGUUGUAAAAGAGUAUUCGGAAGGUGGCUUUCUUUUCGGAGAAAGUGUUUAUAGCCCUAUACUUCUACAAUCGGAGAGAUUGAGGUCUGCAGCGUAGAUCCUUCGGGGUUAGAUACACUUGUGCUAAGUUGUAGCUUUUCAUAGACAACUUGUUGACUAUGUUUAGUCAUGCGGCUUACUCGCUUGUGCUAUUUUACCUACGCUUAGGAUGUUGAGUAGCGACAUACGCAC